GAACACCGGUUGUCGUCUGAUCACCGAAGUUAAGCAACGUCGAGCCUGGUCAGUACCUAGAUGGGUGAACGCCUAAGAAUACCAGGUACUGUAAG
rnacentral:rRNA from 1 species